GCCGCCAUCUUUGGCUCCGCUACUGACCCGGGCGUCAACGUCGGCAAGGGUCCCUGCCCACUUGUCGUCCGAUCCAAUCAGAAAGCGAGAGGGGAGCUGGGGGUAAAGAGCUGGAUUCUCAGUGGACAUGGGCUCCUUUGCGUCAUCCACCUCCCAGCCAAUCAUCUAUCACAUCCAACCUAGGGUCGCUGGCCAUGCGCUUUACUGAACCAAUAGGCUUCCUGCCUGUGUGGCGGGGAGCAGUAGAGCUUUAAGUUGGAGUCCUGCCCUCUGGGCUGCUUUCCCGAUUCUACAUAGCCUUGCCCGAGAUUGAUUUGGAAAUAGCAUACACUAACACCUAGCCCUUCGGUUAAUUUAUUAGUUCGUUGUGUAUGUUAACGCUAUUCUUUUGGGUUUAAUUUCUUUAAAAAAAUUUUAUAUUAUCUUUGAAUAGAGACAGCCGGAAAUUGAGGAGGGGGUGGGGGAGCGAGGGAGAGAGACGGUGAGACAUCUGCAGCCCUGCUUCACCACUCGCAAAGCUUUCCUUCUGCAGAGUUCUGUGUACUUCCACUGGAAACUGCGUUAGUUGUCCCAAGAUUGCAGGUUCAUAGAGCUACUGUUCAGCAGAUAAAGAAUAGCUAAAACUAAUUUGAAAAAGGAGACUAAGAGCCUGGACAAAGUACCAAGCCCUAGCCUAAUGAAAGGAGGGAAAGCUCACCAAGAAACGAGGACUGAGGAUGCCACCUACCACUUCACAAAUAAGGCUGCCUAGGCAUAGAAGAGUAAGAGAGGAAGAGACAAAAGAGUCAAAGAGAUCACAGCACGUAAAUUGCCUACAGUGUGGUGAGGGCCAGGCUCAAGCCUGAAUUACACAAAGCAGUUCUCAACCCAUGAGCUACUGAUAGAACCUGUAUUUCUCCCAGCCCUGGAACCUCUGGGACUUUGCUUGUUGCCUCCAUGCUUCUCUUGAUCUAUGCCAUUUGAUACGGCAUCUACUGGUCUCAACUAAAUCAGUGCAACCCAUGAAACUCAACAUGUUUCACUUCGGACUGUGUCCAGAGACCCAAGGCCUGGGAUGUCAACCCUCCAGCUCCAAUAUGCAGCCACCAAGUUGCAGGUGCUACCAUGAUGCCAACCUGACUUCCCUGGGAAGACGACCUCGGCAUGGGGCAGGGCUCCGGAGAAGUGGAGUUCCAGGACACAUUGGUGAGGUCGUCUGCCCAGGGAAGUCAUGUUGGCGUCGUAGCAUCUGCAACCUGGCUGAAAAAGCAUUAAGAUAUAAUGCAGAACAGAUAGUUUAAUAAUCAGAAACCUAAAGGCAACUAGAUCCUGUUACCUGAAGAGUCGGGAAAGAGGAAAGAGGUGACAAUGGAAAAGAAGACAGACUUUGUUUUAGGCGAUACUGGAAAUCUCUCCUUUACGUCUAUGUGCAACGAGGAAGAAUUUCUAAAGCUAUCAGUGUUUAUUUGUAGUGGAUUGGCAGUUUAAAUGAAAAGUUUCCAAGAAUUACCAUGUCUACCGACUGCAAGUUUCACUAAUGGAAUGGACUACAUGAUAUAAAAAGAAUAAAUGAUUCAAAUUUACCCGGCUCUUAAAUGCAGUCAGGGCCACCUGGCGGCCAUUAUCUAACACUUUCCAUAUCCGGAGUUCAUCUAUAUAGUCUGGUUCCUGUGGUCACUGAGGCUAAAACAGGGUCAGUAGCUUCACUACGCUAAUAAUCUCUACUUCCUGGGCUCAGUUUCCUGGAACAGCAGCAGGCAGAAUAAAUCAAUGUGACAGUGUACCUACUGUGCUAUAUGACACGACUCAGGUUCAAGCCUGACCCCUCUCCACCUUGGCACAAAUAGAUGAGUUUCUGCUGUGACAAAUUAUAUAUAUUCCCGGAUGAGGAGAGUAGUGGGAACAUAUUUUCUUGCAGUUCCUGCCUUUCAUUCCUUUCUUUCUCCUCUUACCCACAGAAGACUUGGAGUUGCAGAUGUCUUAGCUGCAAAACAGGAGUCAGUCUCAGCCUUUGCAUUGCCAUGAGAUUAACUGCUCUUCAAGUCGAGAUGUCCAAGGUCGCAUCUCUACAAUGAGAUCACAAGAGUGUCUGACCUUAUCUUGCUCAUUAGACGUUAGAUUCAUUCAGGAUCUGCCCUCAUCAGCAUGAAAGCAUGUUUUUAAACAUGAAACACAGAAAAUCAUCAACAUGAAAAUGUUCACAGAGGUGGGAGUAAUAAAAGGCUCCGUGAGGUCAACUAGUGCUAUAUUUGCAUGUUUAAGAAAUGAAGAAACUGAGAUUUUAAAAAGUUCAUUUCCCUUUUAUUUGUGUGCAGUUAAGCACAAAGAGCGAGAGCCCAGUGAAGAACUGGCUGAAUUUCUGACUUCUGCUUUAGUGACUUUCAAAUCUGUAUGCAUGCAAUAAGUUUGAAAAACACAACCAUUACUAGAAUCAUCUGUAUCUUUUUUGAACACAUAUGAAAAAGCGGAAAGCAGAUAAUCAGAAACCAUUAUAUUAACACACAGUGCAAGAAUCAUCAACACAAAUCAUAUUUCAAAUACUCCAGAUGACUUUCACAAACAAAAAAAACACCAACAAUCCUCCUAAUUUAAUGGAUUCUAUCCAAACCACAAGUUCAAAGGAUCAAAAUAUGGUCUAACAACAAAUAAAAAUCAAACAAACAACCAAAAAUACUAGGCAAACAUAAUAGUCCUCAGAGGACUUCACGCUCAAGUUAUCAGCCCAAAUACAGCAACAAUUCAGGCACCAAAGAAACUUAGAUCUGUUUCUGAAUUCUUGGACACUUACUGGAACAACCAGUAACUGAACUCUAGUAGAUUAUUAACCCUGUAAAUGUCACCCUCCUUCAGUCUCCUCAAAGAGACUAGAGCCAACGAAGUGAUUACUUAAGGUGGAAAAAAAUAAAACUGUAGUCCAAGUUAGUCAAAUAGUCCAAAGUACAAAAAUUUUAAACAAAACGUGGUGGUGGUGAUGGUGGGGAGACAUAAGUAAAAAUGUUCCUGAGUGAAAUGCACUUGGAUAAGGACAACUGCUAUAAGUCUUUCUAAAAGUCAUCCACACAUUUCACUGAGUCUCUCUCUAAUGGCUCUUACGCUAGAGUAAUUUGUCCAGACAAGGAGUAAGAAGUCAGUGAUGACCUAUGCAUUGGUGUGAGUGAUCAUGCUUAGAUCAGGCACUAGAAGAAUUAUAAAGAAUUAGGGAGUCGGGCGGUGGCGCAGCGGGUUAAGCGCAUGUGGCUCAAAGCGCAAGGACCAGUGUAAGAAUCCCGGUUGGAGCCCCCGGCUCCCCACCUGCAGGGAAGUCGCUUCACAGGCGGUGAAGCAGGUCUGCAGGUGUCUGUCUUUCUCUCCCCCUCUCUGUCUUCCCCUCCGCUCUCCAUUUCUCUCUGUCCUAUCC